CUGUCAGCGCUAGUGCCAUUGCUUCUUGCCUCUUGCCUGCACGUGCCUCUGCGGCGUCAUGGCUUGCGGAGUCUGUGCAGGGGAGCUGCCUUGGCCAGGUGUAAGAGUCAUCUGAGAGAAAGAGUAUCGUUUACGUGGAGAAGUGGCCGCUUUCAUUCUCUGUGGCUUACCCUCAAACGCUUCCUUGGCGACUUGGGUGACACACCCGCCGUCAAGGUGGCUAUUCGAAUCUGUGCAGGGGAGCUGCCUUGGCCAAGUGUAGGAGUCAUCUGAGAGAAAGAGUAUCGUUUACCUGGAGAAGUGGCCGCUUUCAUUCUCUGUGGCUUACCCUCAAACGCUUCCUUGGCGACUUGGGUGACACACCCGCCGUCAAGGUGGCUAUUCGAAGUGUGCUGGCUGCCUAAGCGUAAGAAAAAGAAAUUGGCUGACCGUCAACACCAGUGCCAUUGCUUCUUGCCUCUUGCCUGCACGUGCCUCCGCGGCGUCAUGGCUUGCGGAGUCUGUGCAGGGGAGCUGCCUUGGCCAGGUGUAGGAGUCAUCUGAGAGAAAGAGUAUCGUUUACCUGGAGAAGUGGCCGCUUUCAUUCUCUGUGGCUUACCCUCAAACGCUUCCUUGGCGACUUGGGUGACACACCCGCCGUCAAGGUGGCUAUUCGAAGGCUGUGAUGUGCAUACCUGCAGUUUAUGGACAUAUGCAGAAGACUCAGCAUCAAGUGCAAGUGAACGGCGCCACAGGCCCGGAGUCGAUCAUUCAACUGGAUUCGCUGCACACCUUUGUGACCAGAGAAGAUAUGUCACAUGAAAUGGCAUGCAAGGAAGCGUUGAAAAUAUUGAACAGUUAAUAAAACACCUGUGCUAUUAAUAUGUGGGUUCGUGCACUCGAUUUCGUCCGUGUUAGGUACUCACCUGUUGAUUGCUUCCUGCCACAGAAAUA